rnacentral:rRNA from 1 species
UACGAAGGACCCGAGCGUUAUCCGGAUUUACUGGGCGUAAAGAGCGCGCAGGCGGUCGUUCAAGUCGGAUGUGAAAGCCCCCGGCUCAACCCGGGAACUGCGUCCGAUACUGGUGGGCUCGAAUCCGGGAGAGGGAUGCGGAAUUCCAGGUGUAGCGGUGAAAUGCGUAGAUAUCUGGAGGAACACCGGUGGCGAAGGCGGCAUCCUGGACCGGUAUUGACGCUGAGGCGCGAAAGCCAGGGGAGCAAACGGG